GAUGAACGCUGGCGGCGUGCCUAAUACAUGCAAGUCGAGCGAACAGAUGAGGAGCUUGCUCCUCUGACGUUAGCGGCGGACGGGUGAGUAACACGUGGAUAACCUACCUAUAAGACUGGGAUAACUUCGGGAAACCGGAGCUAAUACCGGAUAAUAUAUUGAACCGCAUGGUUCAAUAGUGAAAGACGGUUUUGCUGUCACUUAUAGAUGGAUCCGCGCCGCAUUAGCUAGUUGGUAAGGUAACGGCUUACCAAGGCAACGAUGCGUAGCCGACCUGCGAGGGUGAUCGGCCACACUGGAACUGAGACACGGUCCAGACUCCUACGGGAGGCAGCAGUAGGGAAUCGUACGCAAUGGGCGAAAGCCUGACGGAGCAACGCCGCGUGAGUGAUGAAGGUCUUCGGAUCGUAAAACUCUGUUAUUAGGGAAGAACAAAUGUGUAAGUAACUAUGCACGUCUUGACGGUACCGAAUCAGAAAGCCACGGCUAACUACGUG
rnacentral:rRNA from 1 species